UUGAUUAGAGAGUGCAAAUAACUGCAUAAAUAGAUCGUGCGAAGACCAGGGUCUUCAGAAGCUCUUCGAAACGUCUCAGUGAUCUUUAAUUUUCAAAGUCUAUCGAGAGUCAGUAAGUAAACGCAAAAAUGCCUGGACCGUGUGAAAAGUGCAAAGAUGUCUGCGAAGACUGCAAAUGCGGUACCGACUGCAAAUGUUGCGACAUUGCACAAGAUAAGUGCGAGUGUAAGAGCGAGGGACACUGUACUUGUACGGAUUGUAAGUGCGAAUGAAAAUACCAUAUCUUCUGAAAACACCGUCGGAGAUAUGACGUAUCAAAAUGGCUCCAAUCACCGUGAUUCACUCAUCGUUUACUUUUAAUUAAGCCCAAGUUGUUUUGUAAUUCCAAUCACCACAGCUGAUGUCAUCAUCAAGUUAAUACUGUUACUUUUGUUUGACGAUACAUGGCGUCAAUUGCUGAUUUCAUAAUAACAAUAAUUAUCCAUCGACACAAUAAAAUAAACCUUUGAAAA